GGCUCAUGGCUACUCUUAUAAAGGAGAAGCAUUUAAUUGGGGAGGCUUCAUUUUCAAAGGUUUAGUCCAUUUCAUCAUAGUCUGGCAUGGUGGUUUGCAGGCAGACAUGGUGCUGGAAAAGAAACUGAGUGUCCCACAUCUUGGCUUGCAGGCAACAGUGAAUUGAGACACUGUGUGUGGUUUCAGCAUACAUGAGACCUCAAAGCCCACCUCCACAGUGACACACUUCCUCCAACAAGGCCACACCCACUCUAACAAAGCCACACCUCCUAAUAGUGCACUCCCUUUGGGGGCUGUUUUCUUUCAAACCACUACAUUAUGGCUUCCAGUUGAGUGUUUUUAUGGGAUCCCUGAGUAUGCAGAUGAGCAGGUCUCUGUUUCUUGUGUCUUCUCUUGGGAUCUUUUCCUUCUGUUUGUUUUUGGUUUUUGUCCAAUGCCAAUGCGUUAGUUUUAUUUUAUCAUUAUAUUACGUUGUAUUAUUAUCUCGUAGAAACCUGUUUGUUUUCUUUUCUUUUCUCUGUGUAUCCCUGGAUGUCCUGGAUGGAAUUCACUAUGUGGAAGGCUGGCCACCAUAAGCGUGGAGUCAUCAGUACAGUCUUAUCCCCAUAGCACCCCAGACACUGGAGCUGAGUGACUUCUCAGAGGGCUUCCAUCCCUUGUGGCUCAGAGGGAGUUUAGGCGUAACUCAGUGGAUAAUGAAGAGAGAAGACAUGGAGGAGGGAGAGUCCCUCAUGAUGAAGCCCCUCAUCCUGACCCAGCCAGGAAUGCUCUGCAAGUGACAGUCUCCAAGCCAGACUCCGCUGGAAGGCCUUCAAAAAAAGUGAAUCGAUACAUGUGGGUGUGGUGACACAUACCUGUAAUCCCCACACUCAGCAGCCUGAAGGUGAUUCAUUGAAAAUCGCAUCAUGUAAUCGGGAAGGAAAAUGUUCGGUGUUCCCCCCCCUCCCCAAAGCCUUGUUCCUUCUCUAGAACAGAUGAAACCACCAGCUCUGCCUGCCGCCUCCUGCUUUGAUGUAUAUUUCAUAAGAGCUCAUUGAUUCUUACCUGGACCCCCGUGAUCUAGAGUCCCAUCUCUUGGGUCUCUGUCACCUUGAACCACAUCACCUGCUUCAGGAAUUCUGAGUUGCACUGUGUUUGUAACAGAACACAAGACCCAGAGGAGAUGCUGGAACGAGCCCUCCGGACAUGCCACACCGUCAAGAUGAGCUGAGACAUGCGAUGGGGGAAACUGUCAUUCAAACACAAGACGGUCUUCAGCUCUGACAAUGCAUAAGAUUGACCCACUGAACGCAGAAAAGCCACUGUAUGUGAAGCUAUGCUCUGCCAUACUAAGACGAGAAUCAGCCACAGAAAAGGCAUCCAGGGACCACCAGCAGUGGCUUCACCCAGUGGGCCAAGUAGCAUUUCCUUUGACCAGCAGUGGGUGACAGCAUGCACAGGAUUGCCCCCCCAGGGAAGAUGACCUGAGCCUUGGAGUCCAGGAUCUUUGUACGUGUGGUAUGCAUUCACACACCACACACGUGUGCAUGGACACAUUUGUACAUACAUGUGGAGGUCGGAAGUUGACAUCAGAUGUCCUCCUCUAUCGCUCUCCACAUAAUUUUUUUCUGACAGGGUCUUUCACUGAACCUGAAGUUCAUUGAUUGGGCUGUUUUGUGUGGCUAGCGAGCCCAGGAUCUCCAUGCCUCUACCUUUCCUGUAUUGGGGUUGCAGGUGUGAAUGAUGCCAGGCACAUGUUUGCUGGGGGCGGAUUCAAGCCCUCGUGUUUAUGCAGCAAACACUUUACUUCUAGUCUCAGAAUCUGAGAUUUUAAAAACUAGUAUUUCACUUUGGACUCCCAUCCAACAAUGUGAGAUGCACUCUCACCCUGAACUCUUGGGGGAGGGUCUAGGCCCUGCCCUAUAUGAAA